rnacentral:rRNA from 1 species
UACGUAGGAGGCAAGCGUUGUCCGGAAUUACUGGGCGUAAAGCGCGCGUAGGUGGUUCGUUAAGUUGGAUGUGAAAUCCCCGGGCUCAACCUGGGAACUGCAUUCAAAACUGUCGAGCUAGAGUAUGGUAGAGGGUGGUGGAAUUUCCUGUGUAGCGGUGAAAUGCGUAGAUAUAGGAAGGAACACCAGUGGCGAAGGCGACCACCUGGACUGAUACUGACACUGAGGUGCGAAAGCGUGGGGAGCAAACAGG